GAUGAGGUGGCCGAGUGGUUAAGGUGAUGGACUGCUAAUCCAUUGUGCUGUGCACGCGUGGGUCCCAUCCUCGUGG
rnacentral:tRNA from 1 species